GACGAACGCUGGCGGCGUGCUUAACACAUGCAAGUCGAACGGAAAGGCCCUGCUUUUGUGGGGUGCUCGAGUGGCGAACGGGUGAGUAACACGUGAGUAACCUGCCCUUGACUUUGGGAUAACUUCAGGAAACUGGGGCUAAUACCGGAUAGGAGCUCCUGCUGCACGGUGGGGGUUGGAAAGUUUCGGCGGUUGGGGAUGGACUCGCGGCUUAUCAGCUUGUUGGUGGGGUAGUGGCUGACCAAGGCUUUGACGGGUAGCCGGCCUGAGAGGGUGACCGGCCACAUUGGGACUGAGGUACGCCCCAGACUCCUACGGGAGGCAGCAGUGGGGAAUAUUACACAAUGGGCGGAAGCCUGAUGCAGCAGCGCCGCGUGCGGGAUGACGGCCUUCGGGUUAUAAACCGCUUUCGCCUGUGACGAAGCGUGAGUGACGGUAAUGGGUAAAGAAGCACCGGCUAACUACGUG
rnacentral:rRNA from 1 species